rnacentral:lncRNA from 1 species
AGCGCCAGCACCGACACGGUCGGGUCGUCGCUGAGGGCGCGCGCGCACGCGCUGCCGGCGGCGCCCAGUCCCACGACGAUAUAGUCGAAUACGGCAGCGUCCUCGUUGACAUUGUUGUUGCCAUUGUCGUCGUUGUUGCCGUUAUUGUGGUUGUGGUUUGUGGUGGCGUGGCGGCGUUGGCCGUCUGUCGCCAUUGUCGCCGCCGUCGUCGUCGUAUAGGUUCGAUCGCCGUCAUGGGGCCGGCGCUUGCAGCGACGACACAUCCAGGGUGCGUCUGCAUGGCCCCGGCCCAUGGCGCGUUGGUCUUGCGCGGCGGCGGCGCCGUGAUGGUUGUCGCCGUGGGCGGCACGAGCCUGUCGGCGCGUCUCGCUCGCCUUGGAGAAGACGCCGGUGGGCGUCGCGUCCACCGCCCUCUUUCGUCUGGCGGCGCCCUCGUCGUCCAACAAAAUUGGAAAACAAAUGGGAGUAGGAAAAAAACUAGUACG